GACGAACGCUGGCGGCGUGCUUAACACAUGCAAGUCGAACGGAAAGGCCCUGCUUUUGUGGGGUGCUCGAGUGGCGAACGGGGGAGUAACACGUGAGUAACCUGCCCUUGACUUUGGGAUAACUUCAGGAAACUGGGGCUAAUACCGGAUAGGAGCUCCUGCUGCAUGGUGGGGGUUGGAAAGUUUCGGCGGUUGGGGAUGGACUCGCGGCCUAUCAGCUUGUUGGUGGGGUAGUGGCUUAGCAAGGCUUGGACGGGUAGCCGGCCUGAGAGGAUGACCGGCCCCAUUGGGACUGAGCUGCGGCCCGGACUCCUACGGGAGGCAGCAGUGGGGAAUAUUGCACAAUGGGCGGAAGCCUGAUGCAGCAACGCCGCGUGCGGGAUGACGGCCUUCGGUUUGGAAACCGCUUUCGCCUGUGACGAAGCGUGAGUGACGGUAAUGGGUAAAGAAGCACCGGCUAACUACGUG
rnacentral:rRNA from 1 species